rnacentral:rRNA from 1 species
ACGCUCGACACCUACGGGGGCAGCAGUCGGGAAUAUUGCGGCAAUGGAGGAAACUCUGACGCAGUGACGCCGCGUGCAGGAAAGAAGGUUUUCGGAUUGUAAACUGCUUUAGACAGGGAAGAAAGAAAUGACAGUACCUGUAGAAUAAGCUCCGGCUAACUACGUGCCNNCNCGCGUAGUAUNGCGGCGNGUGAGA